rnacentral:rRNA from 1 species
GAUGAACGCUGGCGGCGUGCCUAAUACAUGCAAGUCGAGCGAACAGACGAGGAGCUUGCUCCUCUGACGUUAGCGGCGGACGGGUGAGUAAAACGUGGAUAACCUACCUAUAAGACUGGGAUAACUUCGGGAAACCGGAGCUAAUACCGGAUAAUAUAUUGAACCGUAUGGUUCAAUAGUGAAAGACGGUUUUGCUGUCACUUAUAGAUGGAUCCGCGCCGCAUUAGCUAGUUGGUAAGGUAACGGCUUACCAAGGCGACGAUGCGUAGCCGACCUGAGAGGGAUAGCUACCAGGCUUGAGCUGGUGCACGGCCCAGACGCCUACGAGAGACGGCACUUGCGAAUCUGCCACGAAGCAGUGGGGAAUGUCGGAGAAAGGCCGCAACACUGAUCAAGGUCUUCUGAGCGUAAGACGCUGGUUUUAGGGAUGUAAAGUUGUUUAAGCAGCGAUGCACAACAUGACGGUACCUGCACAAGAAGCCACGGCUAACUACGUG